CAGACCCCGUCCUCGCAGGGCUCCUCUAGGCCUCAGUCUCUAUGGUAGUUCUCAAUGGUAAGACCCAGCGCCUGUGCGGCCAUCUUUGGUUUGGGCAACGUCAAAUUAGGACCUGUGAAAAAAGGAAAAAGCGAAACACAGAAUGCAUUUAUAUUAGAUCCCUCUAAACUUUUAUUUAGAAAAGAUAAAUUUCUCUCCGGACUUGUUAAUCUGACUCUAAAGUUUCUUACGCCGGAAGGGAAAGGUGGCCCGAAGUGUGUCAGAUGACCGCCAGUCCUUUCCCACACCCCGCCAGGCUUCGCCUUUCUCUUAACUUUGAUUCGGGAGCUGCGAGAUGACGCCAGCGUUUUGCGCUAACAGCAUUCCUGGUCGCGCAAUUGAGUUCUUGGUUGGAAAGGAAUUGGUGCACUCAAUUAUGGAGGCUGAAAAGUCCUACAAUGUGCAGUCUGCAAGUUGGACACCCUGGAAAGCUGGUGGUGUAAUUCAGUCUGAGUCUGAAGGCCUGAGAACCAGGGGAGCUGAUGGUGUAAAUCCAGUCUAAGUACAGGAGAAGAAUGACGUACCAGCUGAGCAGUCAGCCUCCUCAUGGACCAGCUCCUGAUGUAUCAAAAGUCCUGAAAAGCCCAGCCAUCUGCUUCCUCAUUGGUGUUAUACCCAAGAACAGCCCAACAAGCUUCUGGAUCCUAGAGUCGCUGUCAUCACUGUUCAUACAUAACCACCUCUUCCUGAUUCUCUUUGAAGAUUGCUGAGGGUCAAGCUUGAACUUGGUAUGUACAGUAUACAGUGUUUUGACUCAGUUUGAUUGUCCUCCAAGAUGGUUUUAAUAUUUAUAUCUCCAUCAUAUCUCUGCAUUGUACCAACACUGGUUAUUAACAUUUAUA